UAUUCUCCGGUGAGCACGAGACACCGUAUCGACUCCCCGGGUUUUGUACAAAAUUGGUUACAUUUUUUCUUUAUUAUUUUCAAGUGAUAAAGUGUGUGGUUUGUAAAAUUAUUUUUUUCUUAAUUUGAAAAAAAAACAUUUUUCUUCUUGCAAAUCAAAAUGACGACUCCUAAUACCCGAGAGUGCUAAAGGACGUUUAAAUAUGUUCUCACAAGGUGAUAAUAUUAAAAAUAAUCAGUUUCUCCGAAUGUCACGAUGUCCGCAAAACUAACGGAGGCUAUCAAAAUGUCGGAUUACAAAUGACGGUGAAACUGAUCUAAUUUUAUCGGAAAUU
rnacentral:misc_RNA from 1 species